UAGGGAAUCUUCCACAAUGGACGCAAGUCUGAUGGAGCAACGCCGCGUGAGUGAAGAAGGUUUUCGGACCGUAAAGCUCUGUUGUUGGUGAAGAAGGAUAGAGGUAGUAACUGGCCCUUUAUUUGACGGUAAUCAACCAGAAAGUCACGGCUAACUACGUGCCAGCAGCCGCGGUAAUCGUAGGUGGCAAGCGUUGUCCGGAUUUAUUGGGCGUAAAGCGAGCGCAGGCGGAAGAAUAAGUCUGAUGUGAAAGCCCUCGGCUUAACCGAGGAAUUGCAUCGGAAACUGU
rnacentral:rRNA from 1 species